rnacentral:rRNA from 1 species
UGGGGAAUAUUGCACAAUGGGCGCAAGCCUGAUGCAGCCAUGCCGCGUGUGUGAAGAAGGCCUUCGGGUUGUAAAGCACUUCAGCGAGGAGGAAGGUGGUGAGCUUAGUACGCUCAUCAAUUGACGUUACUCGCAGAAGAAGCACCGGCUAACUCCGUGCCAGCAGCCGCGGUAAUACGGAGGGUGCAAGCGUUAAUCGGAAUUACUGGGCGUAAAGCGCACGCAGGCGGUUUGUUAAGUCAGNUGUGAAAUCCCCGGGCUCAACCUGGGAACUGCAUUUGAAACUGGCAAGCUAGAGUCUCGUAGAGGGGGGUAGAAUUUCCAGGUGUAGCGGUGAAAUGCGUAGAGAUCUGGAGGAAUACCGGUGGCGAAGGCGGCCCCCCUGGACGAAGACUGACGCUCAGGUGCGAAAAGCGUGGGGAGCAAAACAGGAUUAGAUACCCUGGUAGUCCACGCUGUAAAACGAUGUCGAUUUUGGAGGUUGUGCCCUUGAGGCGUGGCUUCCGGAGCUAACGCGUUAAAUCGACCGCCU